AUUGAAUAAUUGCAGAUAGUACAAAUUGAAAUGCUUUAGUCUUCAUAUAAAUAAUAAAUCUGAUUUUUAAAUAUUAAGAAAAAGUUGCUAUAAUAUUUAUAAAAACUUUAAUUUGGAACCUUGGCAAAAUUUAGACAUUUGUCACCACACAAGGUAAAAGUUUCACUUCCAGUAAUUUCUCCUUUAUGAGCUACAGGUUAAUCAUUUUGUACAUCAAAAUGAAUGAUGGUGAGAGAAAUAUAAAUAAUCAACGUACAAAUAAUCAAAUUUUGGAUAUUCCAAAAAAUUUAAGAAACAACAAAAAUUUAGACAUUAUUGGAGUGAGUGAAUUCUGUUAUAUAUCCACAGGAUGUAAUCAUAUUUAUUGCAAUACAGGGACUCUCGAUUUUAUGAACUUCAACGGACCCCAAACCAGAAAGAAAAGAUUAGACUUAUCAUUAAUUUUUGAUAAUUUAUAAUAUAUUUAACUGAAGAUAUUUAUAAUUUAAAGUGGGAAAUUUUCUUUGUUAUUAAAAAAUGCUGUUAAAAUUUUCUUAAUUAAUUUGAAAAUCAUAAAAAUUUAAAUUAUUUUACUCUGAAUAUGCUUAAUUUUAUUUUAAAGAAAUGUUAGAUAUACAAAAACAAUGACAUUGUGUACUGAUGCAAGUUAUGAAACAUUAAUCACUGGAAAAUUUGGCAUAUCAGGAAUUUAACUCUACAACAUCUAAUUGUUUACUGCAAUAUAAAUUGUCUUCAGUAAUAACUUGUGCAAAAUAUGGCUGCUAAAUACUCGACAUGACAAAACCGUCAAGUUAAACUGACAUUAAACUUCAAAUUAUGGUACUUUAUACAGAAUUUUAAUUUUAAGGAGUGCCAAAAAUUAUUUCAUCUUCAAGGUGCUAUUGGCUGCAUUUUUUUAAACAAGUUUUCAAACAAUUCUUGAAUGAAUGAAUCAAAUUCUGGAUCACGAAGACUAUUUUAUAGAAUUGCAAAAUUUUAUCCAUUUGGUAUCUUGUAUAAAGCAAUAUUGAAGUGAAAUGGCUAAAGAACAUUGUGCAGUUUGAUCUAGGUUGAAAUAUUCUGUAUGUCUCUAAUUAUACUAUGCUAUGGAAAAUGAUCAAAAGAAACAUCAACAAGCAUAUUUAUUUUAAGUAAAAAUGCAAAACAAAAACUCUUGACAAAAUGUGAAAGUGAAAAGAAAUUUUUGUAAUUUUCGUACUUAAAGUGAAAUUUUAAAUUAAAACUUGUAGUUCAUUCGUACUUAUUGUAUGCUUUC
rnacentral:lncRNA from 1 species